CAACUAAUCAAACUUUUUACAAAUUCUUUUACAGGAGAAUCAAGUUCAGGCCACUAUUUACAGUACUGAUAUAACAUAUUUUGAAAAAGAAUUUGCUCCUUUCAAGACUUACUUGGUAUCUGUUGCACAUGUGAAAGUACCACCUCUUGGAUAUGAAAAUUCACUUAACAAAUUCAUUUGGACACUCGAUAAAAACACCAUUGUUGAACCAGUUGAAGAGGUCAAACCUCCACAGGAUCCAUUACCACCACCAACACGACUAGCUCUUACCACAUUUGACACUUUUGAGUAUCAACCCAAAGAAUUUGAAUUUGAUGUGCUCGCCAUUGUCAUUAAUAGCAGUCCUUCAACAAAGACUACAACUGGAAAACGAAUUCAAGAGUUUAUUGUCAUGGACAAGCUG